UUUUUUUUUUUUUUUUUUUUUUUUUGAGAUACUCUCACUCUGUCACCCAGGCUGGAGUGCACUGGCGUGAUCUCAGCUCGCUGCAACAUAUACCUUCCAGGUUCAAGGGAUUCUCAGUCCUCAGCUUCCCAAGUAUCUGGGAUUACAAGCACGCACCAUAAUACCUGGCUAUCUUUUUUUUUAUUUUUAAUGGAGACAGGGUUGCCUUGUUGUCCAGACUGGUCUCAAACACCUGGCCUCAAGCGAUCUGCCUGCCUCCGCCUCCCAAAGUGCUGGAAUUACAGACGUAAGCCACCAUGCCUGGCCUCUUGAGUGAAUUUUCUUUGCCUAUCCUCCUGGAAUUUCCCCCUUUCAUGAUGGUUGAAAUUGUGCUACAAAAACAGCAAUGGAGUAUCAUGUGUUAACAGGUGGCUUGUGAAGAAGAAAGAGAUUCUAGAAGAAUCUAAAAUAGUGAUAAGUGACCAGAGUCUUAAACGAGGUAAGGGAGUGAAUCACGUGGAGAUCUCUAAGGGAAAUUCCAGGCAAUUGCUUUGGAGGAAUAGCAGUAAGUACAGUUUGGUUUGAGUUGGCCUGGUAGAGAGAAUGAAAGGCAAUAAUUUUGGAGAAGCAGAUUUGUGACAGAUCACGUAGUGCCUUUUAGAAUAUGGUCGUGUGCUUGAGAUUUUGGGGAACGGAUUUGAAGGUUCUGAGCAGGAAAGUGACAGGCUUUCUCUUUUACUGAAAACACAACAUUUUUUCACCAAGGUGACUUUUACUGCCAGGGAACAAAUAGUUUUUAGCAGAAUGAAAGAGAAGAGGCAGGAAUGGCACCUCUGAAAUUAUUGCAGGAGUCCAAUUGAGGGAAGGUGGUGGCAGGGUGUAGGGUCAUAAGGGUGGUGCAUGGUGUGCAAUUUGUGGUGUAUUUUAGGUAGAUUCAGACAAUGUGAAAACAGAUUGCAUGUUGAGUAUUAGAAGACUUAAGAAAACUCUUUUUAAUAAGAUCUUACUCUUCUCUUUCAACCUUUCAUUUUCAAAUUUUUGGUGAUAAUGUUAUUUUGUUUCCAUUUAAUCCUUCUCUUUUGUCAAAGCUCAAAAUGAAAGAGAAACAGCAAAUAACCCCUCUCUAGCUCUUGCCCUUGUUUCCCACUGUGUUAUUUCUUUCUACUCAGAUGUACAUGUAUGCUGCUGCACAUAAUUACACAUUUUUGUAUGGAAAAAAAUAGAACAUUCAAUGCCUGAUGAGCAUCACAAUAAACUUUUCUCGUAAGUAAACUUCCUUACAGUGCCAGACACAAAUGUCAAGGAGUUGUUUAGCACUUUUUCACAGACAUCAAUGUUUUUAUUCCCUACUCAGCAGAGUUCUGUAUUCGGUGACAUUACAAAGUCAUUUGAAGGAAAGUUGCCUGGUGAGAGGGAAGAUGAUAGUCCUCUUUGUCUUUUAAGUAACUAAAAAUGUUUCAGCAAGACAAAUUUCACAGUGUUCUAACUCAGUUUUUCUUCCCCUUUCUAAGUGAACAUGUGAAGACUGGAAACUGAAGAAAUGCCCUUCUAACUGGUGGGCAAAAAAAAGGACAGCUUUCUCCACUCUUUCAAUCGCUCAUUAAAAUAUUGAGUAUUAUAAAAGAGACUGGCUAAUUCAUGUAGGGUAAGAUUAUUUAUGUUAUUUUACAUUUUUGGAAACUAAGCAUUUGAAAACAAAACACAGCGAGUCUCACCCUUCAACUCCAAGGAAAUUUCAAAUUAGAUGGUAAUACUCACAGGAAAUGCAUUUCAUAUAGGUCUUAAAGAAUAAUUCAAAUCUCAAAAAAGAGACUGAAGAUGGACACAUGAAGAGGAAUGAGAAAUGGAAGAUACAGUGCUGUCAAAGAAAAUAAUGCACUCGGAGUUAAACAGUCAAGGAAGACUUUAUUAAACAUUAUUAUUAAAGACUUUAUUAAAGACUAUUAUGAUAGAGAUCAAGACUAUUGCAAUAGAGGAGAAAAACGGAAUUUAACUCCCCUAAAAAAAAGGGCAGGAGAAUUUUAAAUAUUUUUUUUUUUAAGAGCUGGGUUGUUCUACAGCAUAAGAGAACAUCAGAAGGGAUAUUGGUCCAUGUGAUUAGGCCUCUGUGUUUGCUACUUAGUGCUUGGUGAAGUUAGGCUCUUACCCUCCCGUAGAGACUGGGAGACAGAGACUGCCUUCGAUAAUUAUAUUUCAAAGGGAUGACUCCUCUGUCUUUGAGAAAGGGUUAUAAAACGAGGCUUUAAAACAGGGUUUAUAAAACAAGAAUUAGGCUAGAAGAAAAUGUAUAUCUCAAUGGAGAGAGAAAAAAUUAAAAUGUCGAGUUUUCUAAAGUAAAUGCUCUAGGAAAAGGGAGGACAGGGGCCCAAAGUCAGGCAGAAGCCUGUAUAAAGUCUAGUCAAUCAGAGGAGAACAUUAAGGCCAUCGUGGUUAGUACAAAAUGAAGAACAUGGGUAGAGAGGUUGACCUGCACCAAAUCAUGAGGUCUGAAGACAUUCCUUUUUCUUAGUGCUAUUAUUAGAGUGUUGUUGUGAUUUUGAUAUAAAGGGUAAAAGGAGAUAGAGACAUACUCAAGUAAACUCUCCAGGAAGCUACUAUAUUAGUCAUAAACACUAGUUAAUAAAGUCCUAUUGUGGUAUUAAAGGCCAUGUAAAUGAAAGGAUGGAUGAUCAAAGAAUUACUGAAUAAAGUAAAAUAUUUAUUAUAUCUAUGCAUUCAUCUAUCUAUCUAUAUUUACAUAUUUUCUGUCUUUAUUUCGAUAAACCAAACUUUUCUGCAACUAGAUUUUGCUUCUUUUGAUUCUCCUGUGACUGUUGACAGUUUAAAUAGUCACACAGG